CAGCAGCCGCGGGAAUACGAAGGGGGCUAGCGUUGUUCGGAUUUACUGGGCGUAAAGCGCACGUAGGCGGAUCGAUCAGUCAGGGGUGAAAUCCCAGAGCUCAACUCUGGAACUGCCUUUGAUACUGUCGAUCUGGAGUAUGGAAGAGGUGAGUGGAAUUCCGAGUGUAGAGGUGAAAUUCGUAGAUAUUCGGAGGAACACCAGUGGCGAAGGCGGCUCACUGGUCCAUUACUGACGCUGAGGUGCGAAAGCGUGGGGAGCAAACAGGAUUAGAUACCCCGGUAGUCCCUGUCUCUUAUAC
rnacentral:rRNA from 1 species